UUUUGGCAAACGUCUAAUGACACAGAGCCACCAUUGCCAAUUUCACCACUGUCUUUCACCAAGUUGAUUCAUUUUGAACUGGCUCCAGCAAUCUACUCAGAGUUGACCUCAGAGCAAAAAAUUGAAGAAGCUGCUAAAGAAUGUGCUUGACUAAAACAAGGCAAUAAGCAAAAGGAAGUCAUAGCAUCCAGAAAAUGGGAUCCAUCAUGCGCACAAAGAAAAGGUGAAGAAAAUUUCCAGGAUGUUCAGAACCCACCAAAAAC
rnacentral:lncRNA from 10 species